rnacentral:rRNA from 1 species
GACGAACGCUGGCGACGUGCUUAACACAUGCAAGUCGAACGGAAAGGCCCUGCUUUUGUUGGUUUCUCGAGUGGCGAACGGGUGUGUAACACGUGAGUAACCUGCCCUUGACUUUGGGAUAACUUCAGGAAACUGGGGCUAAUACCGGAUAUGAGCUCCUGCUGCAUGUUGGUGGUUGGAAAGUUUCGGCUGUUGUGGAUGGACUCGCGGCUUAUGAGCUUGUUGGUGGGGUAGUGGCUUACCAAGGGUUUGACGGGUAGCCGGCCUGAGAGGGUGACCGGCCACAUUGGGACUGAGAGACGGCCCAGAAUGCUACGGGAAGCAGCAGGAGGGAGUAUUGCAGAAUAAGGGGAAGCCUGAGACAGCAACGCCGGGAGCGGGAUAACGGCCUAAGGGUUGUAAACCGCUGUCGCCUGUGACGAGGCGGGAGUGACGGUAAUGGGUAAAGAAGCACCGGCUAACUACGUG